CAGUGUGAUUCGUCACACUAUCAUUAACUGAAUCCAUAGGUUAAUGAGGCGAACCGGGGGAACUGAAACAUCUAAGUACCCCGAGGAAAAGAAAUCAACCGAGAUUCCCCCAGUAGCGGCGAGCGAACGGGGAGCAGCCCAGAGCCUGAAUCAGUGUGUGUGUUAGUGGAAGCGUCUGGAAAGGCGCGUGAUACAGGGUGACAGCCCCGUACACAAAAAUGCACAUGCUGUGAGCUCGAUGAGUAGGGCGGGACACGUGGUAUCCUGUCUGAAUAUGGGGGGACCAUCCUCCAAGGCUAAAUACUCCUGACUGACCGAUAGUGAACCAGUACCGUGAGGGAAAGGCGAAAAGAACCCCGGCGAGGGGAGUGAAAAAGAACCUGAAACCGUGUACGUACAAGCAGUGGGAGCACGCUUAGGCGUGUGACUGCGUACCUUUUGUAUAAUGGGUCAGCGACUUAUAUUCUGUAGCAAGGUUAACCGAAUAGGGGAGCCGAAGGGAAACCGAGUCUUAACUGGGCGUUAAGUUGCAGGGUAUAGACCCGAAACCCGGUGAUCUAGCCAUGGGCAGGUUGAAGGUUGGGUAACACUAACUGGAGGACCGAACCGACUAAUGUUGAAAAAUUAGCGGAUGACUUGUGGCUGGGGGUGAAAGGCCAAUCAAACCGGGAGAUAGCUGGUUCUCCCCGAAAGCUAUUUAGGUAGCGCCUCGUGAAUUCAUCUCCGGGGGUAGAGCACUGUUUCGGCAAGGGGGUCAUCCCGACUUACCAACCCGAUGCAAACUGCGAAUACCGGAGAAUGUUAUCACGGGAGACACACGGCGGGUGCUAACGUCCGUCGUGAAGAGGGAAACAACCCAGACCGCCAGCUAAGGUCCCAAAGUCAUGGUUAAGUGGGAAACGAUGUGGGAAGGCCCAGACAGCCAGGAUGUUGGCUUAGAAGCAGCCAUCAUUUAAAGAAAGCGUAAUAGCUCACUGGUCGAGUCGGCCUGCGCGGAAGAUGUAACGGGGCUAAACCAUGCACCGAAGCUGCGGCAGCGACGCUUAUGCGUUGUUGGGUAGGGGAGCGUUCUGUAAGCCUGUGAAGGUGUACUGUGAGGUAUGCUGGAGGUAUCAGAAGUGCGAAUGCUGACAUAAGUAACGAUAAAGCGGGUGAAAAGCCCGCUCGCCGGAAGACCAAGGGUUCCUGUCCAACGUUAAUCGGGGCAGGGUGAGUCGACCCCUAAGGCGAGGCCGAAAGGCGUAGUCGAUGGGAAACAGGUUAAUAUUCCUGUACUUGGUGUUACUGCGAAGGGGGGACGGAGAAGGCUAUGUUGGCCGGGCGACGGUUGUCCCGGUUUAAGCGUGUAGGCUGGUUUUCCAGGCAAAUCCGGAAAAUCAAGGCUGAGGCGUGAUGACGAGGCACUACGGUGCUGAAGCAACAAAUGCCCUGCUUCCAGGAAAAGCCUCUAAGCAUCAGGUAACAUCAAAUCGUACCCCAAACCGACACAGGUGGUCAGGUAGAGAAUACCAAGGCGCUUGAGAGAACUCGGGUGAAGGAACUAGGCAAAAUGGUGCCGUAACUUCGGGAGAAGGCACGCUGAUAUGUAGGUGAAGUCCCUCGCGGAUGGAGCUGAAAUCAGUCGAAGAUACCAGCUGGCUGCAACUGUUUAUUAAAAACACAGCACUGUGCAAACACGAAAGUGGACGUAUACGGUGUGACGCCUGCCCGGUGC
rnacentral:rRNA from 1 species